rnacentral:lncRNA from 1 species
GUUAAAACGAAAGACCGUCCCCUUGGCUAGAUCACAUUUCAGGGGAUGAUUUGAAGACUUGAUAUUCAUCAUGUAAUCGGUUUCAUUAUUUAAUCAGAAAAAAUAUCGCACUCGUUAACUAAAAAGUUGCAAUCUAUCUCGUUGGAGUUGAGUUUUCAUAGUCAGGGAGAUGAUGAAAAGUCUAUUAAACUAUUAUAUGACUAUUUUCAAUGUUUAGGUUCGUAUUUAGAAAAAAGUUACUAAAAUUUAUUUACUAUUAUUUACUAGACUUCCUAUGACUUUAUUAAAUGUUUCCUACUUAGAAUACGUUUACUAUUAGAUUUUCUAGAAUGUUUUUAGAU